GGAGAGGUGGCCGAGUGGCUGAAGGCAGCGCUUUGCUAAAGCGCCAUACGGGGAAACUUGUAUCAAGGGUUCGAAUCCCUUCCUCUCCGCCA
rnacentral:tRNA from 1 species